CCUACGGGUGGCAGCAGUCGAGAAUCAUUCACAAUGGGGGAAACCCUGAUGGUGCGACGCCGCGUGGGGGAAUGAAGGUCUUCGGAUUGUAAACCCCUGUCAUGUGGGAGCAAAUUAAAAAGAUAGUACCACAAGAGGAAGAGACGGCUAACUCGGUGCCAGCAGCCGCGGUAAUACAGAGGUCUCAAGCGUUGUUCGGAAUCACUGGGCGUAAAGCGUGCGUAGGCUGUUUCGUAAGUCGUGUGUGAAAGGCGCGGGCUCAACCCGCGGACUGCACAUGAUACUGCGAGACUAGAGUGAUGGAGGGGGAACCGGAAUUCUCGGUGUAGCAGUGAAAUGCGUAGAUAUCGGGAGGAACACUCGUGGCGAAGGCGGGUUCCUGGACAUUAACUGACGCUGAGGCACGAAGGCCAGGGGAGCGAAAGGGAUUAGAUACCCGUGUAGUC
rnacentral:rRNA from 1 species